UACGAAGGGGGCUAGCGUUGUUCGGAAUCACUGGGCGUAAAGGGCGCGUAGGCGGCUUUGUAAGUCGGGGGUGAAAGCCUGUGGCUCAACCACAGAAUUGCCUUCGAUACUGCAUGGCUUGAGACCGGAAGAGGUUAGUGGAACUGCGAGUGUAGAGGUGAAAUUCGUAGAUAUUAGCUAGAACACCAGUGGCGAAGGCGGCCAACUGGUCCGGUACUGACGCUGAGGUGCGAAAGCGUGGGGAGCAAACAGG
rnacentral:rRNA from 1 species